CACGAUUCAUUAAGAAAAAUUGUCAGUGUAAAGUUUGAUUUUCAACAUAUCAUAUGAAUAACUUGUGAAAACAUGAACGUUUACUUACUUAUCACCCACGGGUCGAAUCGUCCCACGUGAGUGUGCCGCAGGCGCCGAGGUAGGGAGGCGCGUGACCCCACGCUGGUAGGGCUUCCUCGAAGCUAAGGAAGUCAGCUCCAAUGGUGUCAUCGCGCCCAAGUCAACAUCCUUGUCCUCGUCCGGGCCUUGGGCCUGGACCUGGGCCUCGUCCUCGUCCUCGUCGUACUCCUCGGCCUCUCGUCAUCCUCUCCUCGUCCUCGGCCUCGUCCUCGUCGUCUCGUCGUCCUCGUCCUCGAUCCCGUCCUCGUCCACGUCCUCGUCCUGCUCCGCGUCUUCUCCUCGGCCUCUCCCCGUGAAGCUCCUCCAUCCUCCUCAUCCUCCUCGUCGUCCUCUCCUCCACACUUGUGAUCACAUGUGGAGAUGUCUGGAUUUUAGACAUCCGACGUUGCAACCUGCUAUAAAUUUUCUCAAAUUUUAAUCAUAGCUUCCACAUGCGAUAACACGACGCAUCACCAAGAUUCGCGAUUUUCGGACUUCGUAUGGAUUUUAUAUAAUUUUAAUCCACUUUUCGCGCACGUAACUCGACAUGUUACCUCAGCGAGAUGGUCGAGAUUUCAUGUGAGGUCUUGGAUACGGACUCAAAAUACACCUAAUACCAUGAAUAUCAUUUUUUAAAGCACUGGGUUGCGAUAUUUCAUGUACCUGUAGUUCACAUUUGAUUUAUCCCAAAACAUACAAAGAAACAAAAUAAAUCAGUUAAAUAUUACAAAAAACUAAAAUUUCUUCCAAACUUUAAAAUAUAGUUUGCAAUAGUGACACAAAGCACCAAAAAAACUCAGCACAAAAAACAAAAAAAAACACUUUGCCGAGAGCCAGGCAAGAUAACUCGGCAAAGAUUGCUUUGCCGAAGGCCUUUCCAGCUGGCGCUCGGCAAAGAGCCUUCCUUUGCCGAGAGCCAAACGGAAGGCUCUCGGCAAAGGAGACGCCGGCCGCCGGCGUUUGGUGGACAGGGACUUUGCCGAGAGCGUGCCUUUGCCGAGUGCACGGCUCUCGGCAGAGAGCCUCUUUGCCGACCGCCUACUUUCCGCUCUCGGCAAAGAGUCCUUUGCCGAGCGUCUGACGUGGCGCUCGGCAAAGGAAGCUCUUUGCCGAGUGUCUACUCGACAGCUCUCGGCAAAGAUGCCGGCUCUCGACAAAGUAGGAUUUUCCUGUAGUGACAACAGCUACCACUACAAACUAUACAAGCACAAGAAUGAAAGUAGUUGCAAGUAUAAAGUGAAGCAAACCAGUGAGAUAAGAUUUACCCCGAUGUUUGGUUGCUUCUCGGCAAUCGACUCCAUGUUUGAGGCGAGUCCCUUAGACUACCGCUUCACGAGCCACACGAUCACACAAGCUCGGCCCCGACGUGGGCUCUUGUGUAGAAAAUGACUUGUCACCAAGGCACUCUAGAUUAUUCCAAGAGUUAGUCUUCGUGAAUCUCACAUGAGGUUGAGCACAAAGCCCCUCAUCAUAAGCUAAUAUACGGAGUCUUCACAUAAUCAUCAGUGGCACUUGAUGAUUUACAACCAGCACCAAGUCAUCUAUUGAAAGCACCAUAUUCAGUAAUAAUGUCAUUAUCGGCCCAUUGUUUUUCUUCACUUCUUUCGUUACAACCCCGGAUUCUCCGUGCUUCGUCUAACAAAUAUAGUUUGGCAUGAAACUUGACUUGAACAGGUGUGAAUGAAGAGUCCUUGGGCUAGCAUAUUUCACAGUAUUCUUACAUAUGGCACAUGGGCACGGCCAUCAAACCAUCAUAUUUGUUUGUGCCUCGGCCACACGUAACAAAGAAUGCAUACCAUCAAUGAACUCUUAGGAGCGAUGAUCAUCUGCACUACAUUAAAUAAAUACCAUAUUAAAACCUAGAACAUAAUUAGUUAAUUUUGCAACAUGCAUGCCAUCACAAAAGUUACAAAUUUAUGAAAGUCUCGCUACAAUGUAUACAAUAUCAACCACCACUAAAAAACUAAAGCUCAAAUGCACUUCAGUAGCAUAAGGAUUUCGCAACCAAUCCCAACUAAAAUAGACAGAUCCCCCAUUUGUUAGCCGCC
rnacentral:lncRNA from 1 species